GAGGCACGUACACUCCAUGAGAUGUUCACUUGAACCCAGCAUGAUUUUGGCCAGGUGACCUAAUGUCCACACUAUGAUUGGAUGGACACAAGCUUAAGACACGGUGCCAGACCAGGAUCGGCGCCCGGGACAGUACCCACCGUGGGGGGAAGACUGAGAGCUGGAAGGCAGAAGUAGACAACCACAAGGAGGGAUUACGCGGUAGUAUUGUUCUGUUAGUGAAUCGACUGAUUGUGUUUACUUGCCCACGGCCAUCGGGAACUUGGACGGAUCCUGGAGUUUAAUAAACACCAUUCUGGUUGCAAACAGUGGCUGUGUUUGAUUGGAACUCGAAAAAAGGUUUUUCCAUCACAAUUUGGCGUAGUCGGCAGGAUCGUUCAGGAAAGUGGGACGGAGAAACUCAUCGGAAUCUCCUAGAACGGGUGAUGAAAGCGCUUCUUCAAGUUGGAUUGAAACCUAACCCCAUGAAGGUACGGUUGUGUGUUCCAGCUGUCUCUUUUCUAGGUGUACAACUGGAUGCAGAGGGACUUCGACCCGAUGCUCAUUAAGUCGACAUCAUCCAGCGCCUCCCACUGCCUGUGACCAAGACUGCGUUCGUUCCUUCCUUGGACUGGUGGGGUACCAAAGGCAAUUUCUCCCACCAUUUGCUGAACUGGCCAAGCCGCUGGCGAUAUCCCUGAUGAUCUCCGCGAACACUGGACGGCGAACAUACAGAAGCUGUGUCUCAACUUAAAGAAGCAGUGAUGCAGGCUGCUGCCUUGGUGCACCCCAGCCUGAGCAGCCGGUUCACUUAGAGGUUGCCGGAGGUCCUAUUGCAUUAGCAGCCGUUUUGACUCAGCAGUUUGAAGGAACGACGUUGGUUCACGCAUCACUUCUGAGAUGUCUGGCUGAUGAGAUAUCCCGUUGCACCCAUCCGAUGUAUGUUGGUAAGGUGGCUGGUCAUCAAAAGACUGGACCACACUCGCACAGGAACAAUCGUGCUGAUGUCGUUGCUCUCCAGUCUGCUCUUGAUGGAGAAGCAUGGAUUUUUUCCCCUCUUCCAUCCCACUCAGUGAUGAGUAUCUCCACUUCGCCCUCUUUGACUGAUUUGAUUAAACUCCAGAAUUCAUAUUCGCCUUACAUCGAAGCCGUGCAGUGGCAUCAGGAGCAACUUGCUGGACUUGAUAUCCAUCCCAAGCCACAAUAUGAUUGGCUGGUGCACACCCAUUUGUAUGUUCUUCUGGACUCUCUGGCCUCCCCUGUUCUCAUGUAUUCUAAGCGCGAUAUCUCCACUGUGUGUAUUCCCCCAGAUUGUGCUGAUGCGAUGUUUCAGUUAUACCACUCACAUCCUACUGGUGGUCACUUUGGUCCCUCAAAAACCAUCACUAAGUUGUUCCCGAACGUUUCAUGACGUUCGGGAACAAUGUAAGAUGUGCCUUGUGAGCCUGCAGCACAAUCCCCCUCGAUUUACUAAUUGAGCAUUAUUGCAGAGUGCACCCUCUCCCUCGGGUCCUUGGACCAAUAUUCAGAUUGAUUUUAUUGGGCCAUUGUCCGCAGCUGCCGGUAGUUACAAAUACUGUUCAGUUAUUAUUGAUAAGUUUACAAAAUGGAUUGAAGCUUUCCCGGCUAAAAAUAACACAGCGCUCACUGCUGCACACAUUUUAUUGCGUGAGGUGAUCUGCAGGUGGGGAAUCCCUGGUAUAUUGGAUAGUGAUCAGGGAUCACAUUUCACGGGCGAAGUUUUCACCAAAUUGAUGGAAUUGCUGGAAAUUGAUCAUAAAUUGCAUGUGUCAUACCAUCCUCAAUCCUCAGGGGUAGUAGAAAGAAGUAACCGCACAUUAAAGGUUUUGUUGUCAAAAUUUUGUGCAGAUCACGCAAUGGAUGAAGGGAUUGCCACUGUGUCUAAUGGCAAUUCGCUCCACCCCACAUGCUACUACUGGCAUUUCACCCGAUCAAGCGAUGACAUGUCGUUUAAUGAGGCUACCAGGUUGUACAGUAGUGAUGACUAAACAAGCCCUCGAACAAUUAGAGGGUAAUGUUAAAUUUCAGGGAACUGUGGAGGAGACAUGGCUGAAAGAGAUGCUAAAGAUCAUACAGGAAACCAACAGCUUUGUGGCCACAAACACUGGUAAGGCGAAAUAAAGUAUGAAGCAACAUUUUGACACUACCGUUAACCAUGUGGAGUAUGAAAUUGGAGAUGAAGUCAUGGUCCGCGUGUAUGGGAAAAAGGAAUCUCCUUUUGCCCCACGAUGGAAAGGGCCUUUUGAAAUUUUGGAAGAGGCAAGCCGGGCAGUAUAUUUAAUUGUCACGCCUUUGUCUUCUAAAUUCACUAAAUGGUAAUCAACUUAAAAUUGUAAAGAAGGGGAAAGGAUAAACUGAUGACUGAA